rnacentral:pre_miRNA from 1 species
AACCUACUCCCUUCGUUCGGAAUUACUUGUCGUAGAAAUGGAUGUAUCUAGAUGUAUUUUAGUUCUAAAUACAUCCAUUUUCGAGACAAGUAAUUCCGAACAGAGGGAGUACCUC